GGGGUCCGUCCCUUUACCGGGCCAUAGGAGGAAAAUUGCUACCAAAUGCUGCCAAUGUGACGUCACUGGGAUGGUCGAAAGCUGAUUGGUCGCUGAGAUUCAGGCGAUGCUGUCAAUUCUGGCGCACCGGCGCAGUGUUUUCCAGCCGUUGCGUGUAUUGUUAUACGGAGUUUGAAUAUUGUUUAUUUGAUAAUAAUAUCACUUUUUAUGUGUUUGAAGAUCGGAAAAGCAUAUACAUAAGUGGCAUUCACACACUUGUCGUCUCAGAGAUCACGAAGAAUGACCAGCUUCAGCAGUUCAGCUCAGGUCCGGGGCUGGUCCUCUGGCGUGCAGGACGGCGAGGAGUGGCUACCUGCACAUAACAACACAAUGACUGGCACCGAGCUGAGGGCAUAAAAUCACAUCAUAUCGACUUCAGCAUCUGUCUCCCAGCUUUGGAGACGUCGCCCGACUCCCUGAGUGGCGAGCGCCAGUUUCCGAAAGGAAUUUGAGGAAGGCGACCCGAAAGCACCCGCUGGGCUGCCGACACUCCUGCGCUGCCAGCAGGGCGUGCUGCGCAGUAAAGCCUCGCUGCGUGGUCUGUACGACAUCCGACACCGGCACCCAGACGUGCAGUUUCUGAUGACAUCCCACCUCAGCCAGGGCUGCCCCGAGAAUCUGCUAGUGCUGACUGCCUGCUGCUGAGGCCGACCUGCCGACGACCUGCCGGACCUGUCGCCGCCCUGGUGAGCCUGAGCCGCCCUGGGACUUGCCGCCUUGUCUACGCUGCCGCCCUGGUGAAACUGCCGUCGCCCUGCCGAACCUGUCGCCGCCCUGGUGAGCCUGCGGCCGCCCUGGACCUGCAGCCACCCCGGCGGACCUGCCGCCGCGUCUACGCUUCCGCCCUGGUGAAACUGCCGUCGCCCUGCCGGAUCUGUCGCCGCCCUGGUAAACCUGCUGCCGACCUGUCGCACCUGCCACCGCCCUGGUGAAUCUGCUGCCGACCUGCCUGACCUGUCGCUGCCGUGGUGAACCUGUUACCGACUUGCCGGACCUUUCUCGCCGCCUUGACGAGCUUGGGGAGCUUGUGCUGAGGUGCCACCGCUCUGUUUCACGUGUUAUGUUGCCCGGUUCCUGGCUGUCGCGGAGUCAAUCGGCACAUUGUGUUUGGAGAGGCGACAUCUUGUACAACUUUCCGACAGUUCGGAGCAUUUUAUUGUACCUACUCAAGUCGCAAGAGGCUUGUGCCUUAUUUGUCCUCUACCAAUCUGUCCAAUAUGGUUUUUUAUAACUACGAUUUAUGGUAUGACAUAAACCGGUAUAUUGUGUACGCA
rnacentral:lncRNA from 1 species